rnacentral:lncRNA from 1 species
AUCCGACUUAGUGUCCCUGAAAUAAUAACUGGACACACACACACACACUGGACACACACACACACACACACACACACACUGGACAAACACACACAGACAAACACACACUGGACACACACACACACACUGGAUAUACACACACUCAACACACACACUGGACACAUACACACACUGGACGCACACACUCUCACACACACACACUGGACACACACACUGGACGCACACACUCUCACACACACACACUGGACACACACACACACUGGACAAACACACACACACACACACUGGACAAACACACACACACACACACACACACACUGGACAAACACACACACACACUGGACAAACACACACACACACACACACACACACACACACUGGACAAACACACACACUGGACAAACACACACACACACACACACACACACACACACACACACACACACUGGACAAACACACACACUGGACAAACACACACACACACACACACUGGACACACACACACACACACACACACACUGGUCACACACACACACACACACACACUGGACAAACACACACACACACACACACACUGGACACACACACACACACACACACUGGACAAACACACACACACACACACUGGACACACACACACUGGACAAACACACACACACUGGACACACACACACUGGACACACACACACUGGACACACACACACUGGACACACACUGGACACACACACACACACACACUGGACAAACACACACACACACACUGGACACACACACACUGGACACACACACACACACUGGACACACACACACACUGGUCACACCCACACUGGACACACACACACACACACACUGGACACAGACACACACUGGACACACACACACACACACACACACACACACACACACACACACACACACACACACACACACUGGACACACACACACACACACUGGACACACACACUGGAUACACACAAACACUGGACACACACACACACACACACUGGACAAACACACACACACACACACACACACACACUGGACAAACACACACACUGGACAAACACACACACACACACACACACACACACACACACACACACACACACACUGGACAAACACACACACUGGACAAACACACACACACACACACACUGGACACACACACACACACACACACACACUGGUCACAAACACACACACACACACACUGGACAAACACACACACACACACACACACUGGACACACACACACACACACACUGGACAAACACACACACACACACACUGGACACACACACACUGGACAAACACACACACACUGGACACACACACACUGGACACACACACACUGGACACACACACACUGGACACACACUGGACACACACACACACACACACUGGACAAACACACACACACACACUGGACACACACACACUGGACACACUCACACACACUGGACACACACACACACUGGUCACACCCACACUGGACACACACACACACACACACUGGACACAGACACACACUGGACACACACACACACACACACACACACACACACACACACACACACACACACACACACUGGACACACACACACACACACUGGACACACACACUGGAUACACACACACACUGGACACACACACACACACACACUGGACACACACACAAAGAACACGUACACUGGACACACACACACACACAUUCUGGACACACACACUGGACACACACACACACACACUGAACACACACCACACAAACACCACACCACACACACACACACACACUGGAUAUACACACACUCAACACACACACACACACACUGGAUAUACACACACACACACACUGGAAACAAAAUGGACACACACACACUGGACACAAAAUGGACACACACACACAAACUGGACAUAAACUGGACUUACACAAAAUAG